AGAUGGAGAAAGAAGUAAGUUGUUGCUGAGAGAUCUGUAGUCAGGAUUGGACCAACAGCCAUUCACUGGACUAACAACUAAGUGGUAGGAGACAAGUGGGAAUAGGAAAAAAAAAAACACAACCAAAUAAAACCUAGUUAGAUACAGCAUAACAUAGUGGGUAGAGAUUACAUCCCUGUAACAUAAAGGAACUUUAUUUAACAAUGCAGAGGUCUCUUACGGCCAGCAGCUGUAAUCUAACUAGCCUAACAAGCCAAAGGAGGUUAAUUUGCUGAGGGCAGGGAAGAGCUGGGUGUUAUUUAUAGCACAAAUUGCUGAGCCUGCAAGCAUCUCCUAUGCCCUCAUUAUCCUUUUUGGAAGCAUCACAGCAAGUGUGUUUUUCAGGCUCUAUCCUCUCCAGCUAAUGCAGUUUUGGUUAGCCCAAGUCACCUGAGCUGAACCGUGCCCUUCUGAAAAUACUUCUUAAGCUUUCAGCAUAUCUUUGACCGUUUUUCUGAGUUCAAAGGGCGUUUCACUAGGGAAAAAAAAACAAACAAAACACCAUUGUGAGAAAAUCUGUGUUUUCAUCAGCAUUAGGGCAGAGUGCCUCUCCACUGCCCACAUGCGAGAGAAUGUUUACAUAAAGGCUAAUGUUUUCUCUUUGUUACUAUGUGAAUAAAAGCAGGUAUUUUUAGAGCAAGUACUGAUACUCGUCAUAUAUAUAUAUAUAUAUAGAGAGAGAGAGAGAGAGAGAGAAAUCUGUACUCUUUUUUUUUUUUAAUAAAGAGAUUCUUAUCAUCUGUCUGAAGUUCA
rnacentral:lncRNA from 1 species